GCAGCCACGUGCUCCGGGCAGGGCGCUCGUUUGAGCUGAGAAGGCCGCCUGAGAACUACCGCCCUGUGGUGGCACGGGGACCUCGUCUGCUCCGACCCCAAUGACCUCGUGGGUUGGGUCUCCCUCUCUCCUCCUCGCUCGGUCCCUUUCUCUGCUUUUCUUUCAGAAGCUGGCUUCUUUCUUCUGCUUGUCGGUUCCUGUCUGUGUGUCUGUCUGUCCCCUGGUGGCCUGCCUCUCUGUGUCCAUCUGACCAGCAUCUGUCUCUCUCUGUCUUGACCCUCUCCCACCUUCUCCUUCCGCCUCCCUCUCUUCUGUUUGUUCUGUUCACUUAACCAACCCUCGCAGCCCUCUUGGUGUCCAGCCCGGCUCUCUGCACUUCACAGAUGUCAGCUCCCGACGUCCUCACAAGAGGCCAGCGAGGCGAGCCCCAGGCCCAGAUGGAGCCUUGGGCAGCAAAGGACAGCCCACUGACACGGACCAGCUGAGGCAGGAAAGGGACAAGACACUCGAGAGAGAGUCUCCACAGCAAGUACUGGGUUGAGGGACCCAGCAAGGCCGUGCCGGGCCAAGAUGCUGGACGAGGUGUGUGUGUGGGUGAGCUGGAGGUGGUUGGCAGGAAAAGCACCCAUCCCGGCUGAGCCCAUGCUCCUGGGGCUGCGGGGACAAGGAGACAGUGCCCGGCUGGCCGGGCCUUCAGGAGCCUGGAGGUGCUCGGGGCCGGCGCCUUCAGUCAACACUCCAGGACACCGGGCCCCGGGGAAGCAGGCGCGUACUCGAGGUCACAGGUGCGAUGGAGGGGGUGGGAUCCCCGCUGUGUCUCCACCCCACAACACUGCCUUUCCAGUGAAUUGCCUGUGAGGAGCCACGCCUGGCAAAGACGGAAAAGGAAAAGGCUGUUAUCGACGGAGCAGGAGGGGUCCAGGCUGGAGGCUGGAGGGAAGUCACCACGGGCCCGGACGGUCAAGAUGGCUUCCUCCUUCCAUCUGGCCUUCUCUGCUCCACCUCUCCAAGGUGGGACAUGCUGUGUCAGCCCUGUGUGCUCCCAGGCCCCGCACCAGCAGCCCAGUCCCUGCUCCAGACUCACGGGAGGAUCUGAUUGGCUCGGCCCCUCCCUGGCGUGUGAUCUCCAGUGUGCAGUCAGCUGGGACCAGGGGGCACGUCCCUGCAUCCUGGGCUUUCCCAGGUCCCAUCUCUGCUUUGGCACUGUUCCCAGACAACGUGUGGAGCAGACACCCUAGGAGGGGGCUGCUGCCGGUGCUUGUGGUUGAUGGAACUCUCGAAUGCGGUGUUUCCCCAGCUGAGCCAGGCAGCUUCCCCUUCUGCAUUCUCCACGCCUGCGCACUGACUGCGCCCGUGGAGGAGGGCCCUGCUCCCUGGAUCUCCCCCUGCCAGGGCUGCAGGAGACUCCCCGGAGGUGUGUGGUCGGGGUGGGCUGUGGGAACCCUGAGGCACCCGGCUGAGCUGCGGGCGUCAAGCCUCUGUCUUCCCGGGUUUGCUUCUCCCUCUUUUCCAGUCUAGUUGGAACAUUAGCUGAGUGUCUGCUGUGUGCAACAAGCUCAGGAAAGAGGAUCGGGUGGGACAGAUCAGUGGAGGGGGCAGGUCCCAGCGACGCAGGCAGGGCCGGGCCCACCGCCUCAGUCCCUCCUCCUGGCCUGUGAGGUAGCCCCCCAGGCUGCUUUGCCCCAUACUCCGGGGUGUGGGAAGUUUCCGCGUCAUGGCCCCCCGCAGGACGGCUUCCCUCCCCCUCUCCCUUGCCCCCCAGGGCUUUGUAAGAGUCGCGUGGGACAGUGUGCAUGAAAGCUCUAAUUAAGAGUAAAGGAUUACAUGAGUGUAUUUUUCAGUCAAAACCAUAAAAGAAACCUUCCCUAAGGUUGGCCCAAGUGCUCCUGCUGAUGUGGGAGGAAGCUGGGUCUGGGGGCUGCAUCCUCCUCCCUGGCACGGAGUGUGUGCGAGCUUUUGGGGUGCUGAGGAAGGUGGGCCUUGAGGACCGGGCUGAGAGAGCUGGCUUUGAUCCUGUUGGCAGUGCUGUGUUGACAACAGUCUUCUGGGAGGGGACCAGCCCACGCAGAGCUGGGGUCCCACGUCCUUUCUCGGGGCUCUGAGUCAGUUCUCAGGACACCGUGUGGCGGCUCCCAGUGGGCGUGCCGGUUGUGCAUCCGAGUGUGCCACGGGGCAUAUGCUGCUCUCACGGCCCCUCUCCCCUCCACGGGCCGCAGUCCUGGACACGCUGGGAGAGCUUCUCCUGGCAGCAGGGCGGGGGGCUGUGCAGCCUCCCCCGCCGAGUGGCUUUGCCGCAUCCUUGCACACUCCUCCCCCAGACCCCACGCUUCACACCGCCUCCGCCUCUCGGCACUCCUCCUCUCUUCCUCGUUCAGGGCGCUGGGUUUUGGUGCUUGUUGCCCGCAGUGGCAAAGGGCAAGGAAUGACAGGUACCACCAAGGCUACUUGGCUGUUUAAGCAAUCAAAGUUUAUUGAUAAAGGGAAAAAGAACGAGGAGCAGGAACAAAGGGGAACAACAAAUCGGUACUCACAACAUCCACACCAGAAUCCGCCGGGGAAGUCCCAAUAGUCUGUAUGGCAGGUGGGAUGCCGAUUGUCCGGGUCUGAGGCAGAGCAUCCUCUCCUCAGCGAGACUCCCAAUUGUUCUAUGCUGUGACUCCCUUUUAUCCUGAGGUUCCUCUGGGUUCUGACUCAGGGUUUCAGACAUUUGGAUAAUUUGAGUUAUUUCUUCUUGUUCCCACAGAUGGGAUGCUUCUCUCUUUUUUGUUCCCAUGGAUGGGAUGUUUCUAAAGUCCCAUCAGGUGCCCGUCGGGGUGGCCAGCCUAGACAGGGAACAUGACGCAGGACAUAUUCUUUGUAACUUGUGCCUUACAGUCAGGGCUGAAGUGGCCGUCUUUGGCCCCGAGCCCAGACACAUUCCUUCACGUAGGGCGCAGGCCCAGUGUCCUUGGAAGGCGGGGAGGUCAAUGAACUCUGUAUAGUGCUGGAACCUGGUCUGAGGUCCAUCUCAGGCCCCUGAGUUCUGAGGUCACCUGGACCCCUCCCCAGCAUCGGGACCUCUGGACCUCUGAGAAUCAUCAGAUCGUACUGACAACGGCUGCCCAGAUGCUGGCUCGGUGGAAUCUUGGGUCCACGUCGGCCCCUUGUCUGUGCUGUUAGUCCGCUCCCGCGCCCUCCUGCCAUGGUGAGGACGUGUUCAGAACCCCCGAUCUACUGCAACAGCCAUCAGGGGAUAGAAACGGUAACAAUGCCCUUUGUUCAGCUCCUCUUGUAUGUCGGCACUGAGUUAGCUGCCUCAUCUCGUUUAGUCCUCGGAACAACCUGACGAGGUAGAUGUUAUUAUCAUCUCCUUUGUCCAGAGGCACAGAGCGCUGACUUCACCGUCCAGGUUCUCAGAGCUCCGAAGUGGCAGAGCCGGGGUUCAACGCGGAUCCGACAGACUGCAGGGCCCCCAGCUCUCAGCCAGGCUGCUGGGUUAGGAGAUUGGGACUAGAGCCUUUGAGGAUGCUGCUGUUGAAAGAAAUUUUAAUUUUAUUGCAGAGGCUUUGCCCCUCAACUAGUCCCCUGACCUCUCACGAGGGACAGCACUGGACCUGGUUACUCACAAUGUCUGUUAACCGUGAAGUCUUUCCUGUGAGGUUGGGAGCUCCUCGAGAGAAGGUGGCAUGUCUUACUCAUGUUCCCGUCCUCAGAACCAAACAUGGUGUCUGUAACUGGUAAGUGUUAAUACAGCAGGGAUGGGUGCCCAGCCCAAGCCAGGCCAGCUUCUUAUGGAGCCAAGGUAGGGAGGGGAAGCUUUCCCUACGGCUGGAGCUGCUCAUCUGGAGGCUGAUGGCCUGGGGCUGCUGGUCGGCCUCUUGCAGCCACACAGAGCGAGCCUUCCUGAGAACGACGUCACUGCGGGAAGCUAUUCACGGGGAGAGGUAGGUUCCCAGUGACGACAUCAGGCACCUGGAUGUCAUUGACUUGAAGCUGAGAUGAGCCUCUCUUUAGGUUCAUAAGCCAAUGUAUUCCCACUUUAGUCUGAGCCAGAUGAACUGGGCCUCUGUUAUUUGCCACCAACAUCCUGACUACUCCAGGGAUCGUCCAUCGGUGCGUUAGCUGAGCAGGCACUCGGCCAGGCCCCGGAGAGGCCAACCCCGCCUCCCACUGCAGUCGCAUUCCUCCCGGCCAGCUCCAGGGCUAGCAGGGCUCGCCCGUUUCCACACUGUCACUCAUGCGGCCCUGGGCCCAGUGCUGCCAUGAAAGAUGGGUCUGGAACUGUCAUCAGAUUGCACAUUGUCCCCUGCGCCUGGUUAUGAAGUCUUUGGCAAAUCAGUUCUUUAUGGCCUUUUAAUCAGGAGGAGAUAAACAGGAGAAGGAGCUCAAAGAAAUUCUUCACAGAAGACUCCAAGCACUGUUCGUCCAGGAGGCCGUGGCUGCCCCCUGUGCAAAGGUUCCGGGAGGCUGGGAGCCCCAGAUCACAGGGGCGAAGGUCUGGGCUCUCAGGGGGCCGAGAAGGAGUGUGUGAGGGGAAGGGAGGAAGAAAACUGAGCAUCUUCGUUCCACGGCUAAGCUGGCCCGGGGUGGGCGGGGAGCGACAUGGGCCUGGGACUGGAGUCUGCAGAGCUGACCCUGGGCCUCCAGCCGCCUCCCUGACACAGUCACUCACGCUGGGCACCUGCUGCCCCCUUGCCAGAGUGGGGCUCUUGGUCCACGGUCGCAGGCCUCCUGCCUCUGAAAGUUUGCAACAGUAAGACUGCUCUCGGGUCCUCAUCGGUGGUGCGGUCUGUGUCGACGUGCGCCCUGACCUGCGGGGAAAUGCGGAAAACAGGCCCGCGUGGUUUUUCAUAAAGCUAUAUUUAUUCAAUUGAAAGGACUUCCUUUUAUUCUGUGAUGGCACCUUUCCCACUCCUCUGGCCUCAGAUAGUCCUUCCUGUGGUGAAAUGAUGGUGAUUAUAAGGAUUUGUUUACUUGGUAAAAUAAAAAGCUUUCAAUCGCAUGUCCACCCGCCAAUGGUCUGCCUUCCUGACACUGCACAGCACUGUUGGCAGGACGCGGCUUUGCUCGGAUCACCCCGGGGACCCCAGCAGGC
ensembl:lncRNA